rnacentral:rRNA from 1 species
ACGGGUGAGUAAUGUCUGGGAAACUGCCUGAUGGAGGGGGAUAACUACUGGAAACGGUAGCUAAUACCGCAUAACGUCGCAAGACCAAAGUGGGGGACCUUCGGGCCUCAUGCCAUCAGAUGUGCCCAGAUGGGAUUAGCUGGUAGGUGGGGUAACGGCUCACCUAGGCGACGAUCCCUAGCUGGUCUGAGAGGAUGACCAGCCACACUGGAACUGAGACACGGUCCAGACUCCUACGGGAGGCAGCAGUGGGGAAUAUUGCACAAUGGGCGCAAGCCUGAUGCAGCCAUGCCGCGUGUGUGAAGAAGGCCUUCGGGUUGUAAAGCACUUUCAGCGGGGAGGAAGGCGGUGAGGUUAAUAACCUCAUCGAUUGACGUUACCCGCAGAAGAAGCACCGGCUAACUCCGUGCCAGCAGCCGCGGUAAUACGGAGGGUGCAAGCGUUAAUCGGAAUUACUGGGCGUAAAGCGCACGCAGGCGGUCUGUCAAGUCGGAUGUGAAAUCCCCGGGCUCAACCUGGGAACUGCAUUCGAAACUGGCAGGCUAGAGUCUUGUAGA